rnacentral:rRNA from 1 species
UGGGGAAUUUUGGACAAUGGGGGAAACCCUGAUCCAGCCAUCCCGCGUGUGCGAUGAAGGCCUUCGGGUUGUAAAGCACUUUUGGCAGGAAAGAAACGUCAUGGGUUAAUACCCCGUGAAACUGACGGUACCUGCAGAAUAAGCACCGGCUAACUACGUGCCAGCAGCCGCGGUAAUACGUAGGGUGCAAGCGUUAAUCGGAAUUACUGGGCGUAAAGCGUGCGCAGGCGGUUCGGAAAGAAAGAUGUGAAAUCCCAGAGCUCAACUUUGGAACUGCAUUUUUAACUACCGGGCUAGAGUGUGUCAGAGGGAGGUGGAAUUCGGCGUGUAGCAGUGAAAUGCGUAGAUAUGCGGAGGAACACCGAUGGCGAAGGCAGCCGCCUGGGAUAACACUGACGCUCAUGCACGAAAGCGUGGGGAGCAAACAGG